rnacentral:tmRNA from 1 species
GGGGCUGACAUAGCUUUAGACGUAGGAUUAACAUAUUAUUUCGCAAGUCGUUCAUACACGUAAAGUAUUUUUAAGUGCAAAUACAUUUGCCAAAGUGAAAGCUAGUAUCGCUAACUUGUUUAGUGCGCCAGUUUUUGCGCCAGCUUUAGUUUAAUCUGAAGCCGUCUGCUUAUUCUAUUCGGCGGAGAAUGGGUAAGGCGUCAGAAUUCGUCGAUACUGUGUGAUGCACUCCGCGGUGUUUUGCACAGGAAUUUUAAUGCGGCUUGACUGAAGACGUUUUGCUAGUUUUAUAAUCUUCAGUUUUGAAAUAAAAAACCAGCUAAGCUUGUAGACGAAUGAUAUAUUGUUUUGCGGACUCGGGUGCAAUACCCGACAGCUCCACCA